rnacentral:rRNA from 1 species
UAACGAAUCUUCCGCAAUGCGCGAAAGCGUGACGGAGCAAUGCCGCGUGCAGGUUAAGCCCCUCGGGGUGUAAACUGCUGUCAGGAGCGACCAAGUUCUGAGGAGCUCCAGAGGAAGAGACGGCUAACUCUGUGCCAGCAGCCGCGGUAAUACAGAGGUCUCAAGCGUUGCGCGGAUUCACUGGGCUUAAAGCGUGCGUAGGCGGGUCUGCAAGUACUUUGUGAAAUCCCACCGCUCAACGGUGGAAUUGCUUGGUAAACUGCAUGCCUUGAGGUCGAUAGGGGCUGCCGGAACAGUAGGUGGAGCGGUGAUAUGCGUAGAUAUCUACUGGAACGCCAAAGGUGAAGACAGGCAGCUGGGUCGAUUCUGACGCUGAGGCACGAAAGCGUGGGUAGCGAACG